UUGGUUCCCCGAUGCUGCGGCCCCGCAGCAAGUGACCGCCGCCACUGUCGUCCAGUCGGGGGCCUCUAGCAAAAAGCUCCAGGGCCCUUGCUGUGCCUGCGGUCCGACUGGCCUUUCCGCGACCGACCUGAACUUGACAAGACUUCACGCUACUGGUGAAUCCGAUGGCACCUCACUCACGGAAACCAUGGACUGUCUCCUGCCACCGCGCGCAGUAGGCCUGGGGUUACCGUUUCUCUGGCGGAGUCAAGGAGCACACGUUUCCCGAGCAGUUGCAGUGUAGUGCUAACUUGAAACGUAGAUGCAAAUAACGCUCCGAACACCUGAGCCUUGAAAUCCCAGAGCAGGGCUGCCUUUGAUACUCCCAGAGCCUGAGGUCGGCCCCACGCCCUGUUGUGACACCUUCAGAAGCACUACGCCUGCAACACGCUCCUCCUCAGGAAUGACCUCUGAGCAGCAAAAUGUUUACCUUCCUGCAGUUGUAAAAAUCCCUGUGGGCAUUGUUCUUCAGCUCCUUUAACUCCUCCAUCUCAUUGAGCAUCUCAUGGACCUGGAACUUGGAGGAGAGGAACUUCAGGCGCCGGGUGAAGGUGGAUUUGUACAGACUAUGCCCAGGUGGAGUGCUGCUCAGCAACUCAGACACCUUCAUGCGACAGGUAGAGCAACACACUUGGUUCAUCAGAC